rnacentral:rRNA from 1 species
UAAUAUCGGAACGUACCCUAGAGUGGGGGAUAACGUAGCGAAAGUUACGCUAAUACCGCAUACGAUCUACGGAUGAAAGCGGGGGAUCGCAAGACCUCGCGCUCAUGGAGCGGCCGAUAUCUGAUUAGCUAGUUGGUAGGGUAAAAGCCUACCAAGGCAUCGAUCAGUAGCUGGUCUGAGAGGACGACCAGCCACACUGGGACUGAGACACGGCCCAG